CGCACAUUGCGCCCCUUGGUAUUCCGGGGGGCAUGCCUGUCCGAGCGUCAUUCGCUCCAUCAGCCAGGUCUGGUCUUGGGUGUCGGGACUCGUCCCGCGCCUCAAAGUCUUCGGUAGGAUCGUACCGCACCCUAGCGCCGUGGACACGUCAAAGUGCUCGCUAGUAGGGAGGUGGAUGCUUACCGCGAAACCCCUUUGAAUUAGGUGGACCUCGGAUCAGGUAGGGAUACCCGCUGAACUUAA
rnacentral:misc_RNA from 1 species